CUGCCAGCAGCCAGAGAGGUAGGAGCUUCCUAAGCCAUGAUGCGAAGAGAAGCCUAACUGCAGGGUGAUGGUAGAGACACAUCCCAGAAAAGCUAAAGGCCCUACAGUUUCUCCACACCAGUCAAAACAGGACUUAAAUCUAUGUAUCCCACAUUCCAGAAGACCUGGUUUUCUCCUCAUCAUUUGACCUAAGAGGCUGCAUUGCUACCUGCACCUGCUUUUAAAGACACCCAAGGACAUCAGCAGAAGCCUGAGUCAUUUAUUAAGCAGCAUUCUUUCACAUGUAGUUCCUGCAGGU